rfam:Hordeum vulgare subsp. vulgare, WGS project CAJW01000000 data, contig: morex_contig_276125
GUUGUCGUGCUGGAGUUGUUAUCGGGCAUGACUAGAAAUCAUGUGGGCUUUGCCCGCGCAUGUUAAAAUCCUGUCGACUACA